rnacentral:lncRNA from 1 species
GUUAGUUCAUGAUUGGACAAUAUUUGUCAAAUACAAACGAAAAUACUACUAUUUCUAUUUUAAAAAAAAAUUAGAACUAAACAAGGCCUACAUUUUAUACCCCAUUCAACAUCGCCGUCCCUGAAAUCGAAUCCAGCUACCGAAAUGGCGCCAACCGAAGUAUUGCACGUCACAAACUCACAACAAUGUUGCUUUAAAAAAAAUCUACUAUGUUUUUUUAAAAAAAAUGUAGCAUGUCACAAUGAACAUGGACGCACAUACUUGACGUGCCGCGUGGACCUCCUCUCCCUGCCUCAG